AGAUUGAACGCUGGCGGCAUGCCUUACACAUGCAAGUCGAACGGCAGCACGGGGGCAACCCUGGUGGCGAGUGGCGAACGGGUGAGUAAUGCAUCGGAACGUGCCCAGUAGUGGGGGGAUAACUAGUCGAAAGAUUAGCUAAUACCGCAUACGACCUAUGGGUGAAAGCGGGGGAUUCGCAAGAACCUCGCGCUAUCGGAGCGGCCGAUGUCUGAUUAGCUAGUUGGCGGGUAAAAGCCCACCAAGGCUUCGAUCAGUAGCUGGUCUGAGAGGACGACCAGCCACACUGGGACUGAGACACGGCCCAGACUCCGUACGGGAGGCAGCAGUGGGGAAUUUUGGACAAGUGGGCGCAAGCCUGAUCCAGCCAUCGCCGCGUGCGGGAAGACGGCCGUUCGGUUCGUUAACCGCUUUUGGCUAGGACGAAACGGCGCGAGCGAAUAUCUACGUCGUUAAGUGACGUACCUG
rnacentral:rRNA from 1 species